rnacentral:lncRNA from 1 species
GGCUCGUAAGGUGUCUCUGAUCAGGGCUGUGGCCUACAUGGUGGCUCAGUGCUUGGGCGCCAUCUGCGGUGUUGGUUUGGUUAAGGCUUUCAUGAAAAACUACUACAACCGUCUCGGUGGUGGCGCCAACACUGUGGCUACCGGCUACAACACCGGCACCGCUUUGGGUGCUGAGAUAAUUGGCACCUUCGUCCUUGUCUACACCGUCUUCUCCGCCACUGACCCUAAGAGAAGUGCGCGUGACUCCCACGUCCCUGUAUGUUCUUCCUUCCUUUUCCUCUCUUCCGUUUGUUAAAUCUGUCCGUAUGCGACGCCGUAUGGUGUCGUGUAGUGUCAAAAGACGAACCAUGUUAGCUUUUAGGGCAUGGGUGUGGUUGUCUGUUUGUCGCUUAGAGAGUGUUUGAACCUUUCAGGUUUUGGC